GACCACUCCGGUGGCCGGGUGGUUAGGGCGUCCGCCUCGGAUUAGGGAGGUAGCGGGUUCGAAUCCCGGCCAAGUCA